rnacentral:rRNA from 1 species
AGAAGAUCAGGAGUGUGCUGGCCUCUAGGGGCAUGUGCACGCUUCACUAGUCUUUCAACCACCUGGUGAACUUUUGAUAGAUCUGUGAAGUCGUCUCUCAAGUCGUCAGACUUGGUUGCUGGGAUUUAAACGUCUCGGUGUGACUACGCAGAUCUAUUUACUUACACACCCCAAAUGUAUGUCUACGAAUGUCAUUUAAUGGGCCUUGUGCCUUUAAACCAUAAUACAACUUUCAACAACGGAUCUCUUGGCUCUCGCAUCGAUGAAGAACGCAGCGAAAUGCGAUAAGUAAUGUGAAUUGCAGAAUUCAGUGAAUCAUCGAAUCUUUGAACGCACCUUGCGCCCCUUGGUAUUCCGAGGGGCAUGCCUGUUUGAGUGUCAUUAAAUUCUCAAACUCACUUUGGUUUCUUUCCAAUUGUGAUGUUUGGAUUGUUGGGGGCUGCUGGCCUUGACAGGUCGGCUCCUCUUAAAUGCAUUAGCAGGACUUCUCAUUGCCUCUGCGCAUGAUGUGAUAAUUAUCACUCAUCAAUAGCACGCAUGAAUAGAGUCCAGCUCUCUAAUCCGUCCGCAAGGACAAAUUUGACAAUUUGACCUCAAAUCAGGUAGGGACUACCCGCUGAACUUAAGCCAUACCAAUAGGCGGAGGAA